rnacentral:lncRNA from 1 species
AUCUGCUCUCCUAUCUUUGGCCCUGAAAGCAGCUGUCAGCAAACAGGGAGGGAGGGAAGCUGACUCCACCUUUCUCUUUUUCUUCUGCCACAUGGCCUUAUCUAUGCUGACAAGUUAACAUACUGCCCAGCCCUCCUGCAAACCCCAUCUCAGCACUGCAAACUUCUUAGCAGAAUCCACUCUAACUUCUGAAAGUUCCCUCCUGCCUGUACCUCGUCCCUCAGGUUCACAGUCACCUCUCCAAGGACUUCUUUCCAAUUCCAGGUUUGUACUGAGGUCGUGGGGCAGACACAAGCAGCUUGUGCAAUCCCUGCAGUGCUGGAUGAAAAUCAGCACGCGGCAAAUAGGACCUCCGUCCACACAGCCAGGUGUAUGCAAAUGCUUCCUUACCAUUGUUCAAUUCAAGGCAGACGUCCAGAUCAGCUGGGAGCACAGGAGGCAAACAAAAGACUGCAGGAGCUGCAGGUGACUUCAGCCGGAGCCACCGAGCUCUGGGCAUGUUCAAGCGCAGAGGCCGCCCUUGCUCCUCGUUCCCGCAUUUCAGAGUGGACUCUGAGAUCCUGCUUCUGGCUCUCCUCAGAGUCCUGAUUUCCCACAGCUGUCUUCAUCUGAGUCUCGUUCACAAGCCUGACCUGCUCCCGAUCUCCACCCCGGCCCAGCUCUGUGCUCCUGCUUGGCCAAGGUCCUCCUCUCCGGUUGACCCACUGGGCUCCCCGGUGCCAUGAAACUUGCUGGACAGUUAAUGUUACCUGAAAAGAACUGAGACCAUUCUGUGUUGAAAUCCCAAUUCUCUUCCUUUCCAAACUGUGAGCUUGGUGGAGUUCUUUAACAUCUCUUAACCUGAGUUUAACUCAUCUGUACAAUGGGGAUAGUGGUUUCCUGUCACAGAGUUUUGUGCGAACGGAAUGAAACAACAUAUAUAAGGUUUCUAGCACAGAGUAAGUGCUCAGUGCAAGUUAGCUGGACUUGUAGCUCUUAGCUAUGAAUAUUUCAGCUAACACAUCUGCAGCUGGAAGCUACUGGUAAUUCUGUGUGAUUCUAUUACCCUCAGUAGCCUUCUUUUCAGACAAUAAGACACAUGGAUGUUUGAUGCAUUGUAGACUGUGUAUUUAUUUUACCAUUUAAUUUAUUUAAUGAAGUUUUUUCCCUGAAGUUAUAUAUAUGUAUAUAUAUAUAUGUAUAUAUUCUCUUUAUAGAAAAUCUGUGUACCUACCCACC